UAAGCUUCUUAUCUUCCUUGGAUCUUAUUGUGAUCCUGGGACAGCUCCCUCCACAUAUACAUUAGGAUGGAGCCUAUGUGUCUUCCGGUCGUCUCCUCCCCCCUAUGGUCCACACUUGUGACUCCUUGUAAGCCCGGUUUGGUGGGUUCCCGUCAAGCGGAACGGGGGUUUCUCUUGCUAUGGGGGUCUUCGGAUCAUUUUUACUUCUCAGCAACCAUCUCUGAUUACAUAUUAAUUCAUUAACCCUUGAGUGAGUACAAUUCCCCUGAAGAAGAC